rnacentral:rRNA from 1 species
GAUGAACGCUGGCGGCGUGCCUAAUACAUGCAAGUCGAGCGAACAGACGAGGAGCUUGCUCCUCUGACGUUAGCGGCGGACGGGUGAGUAACACGUGGAUAACCUACCUAUAAGACUGGGAUAACUUCGGGAAACCGGAGCUAAUACCGGAUAAUAUAUUGAACCGCAUGGUUCAAUAGUGAAAGACGGUUUUGCUGUCACUUAUAGAUGGAUCCGCGCCGCAUUAGCUAGUUGGUAAGGUAACGGCUUACCAAGGCAACGAUGCGUAGCCGACCUGAGAGGGUGAUCGGCCACCCUGGAACUGAGACACGGUCCAGACUCCUACGGGAGGCAGCAGUAGGGAAUCUUCCGCGAUGGGCGAAAGCUUGACGGAGCAACGCCGCGUGAGUGAUGAAGGUCUUCGGAUCGUAGAACUCUGUUAUUAGGGAAGAACAAAUGUGUAAGUAACUAUGCACGUCUUGACGGUACCUAAUCAGAAAGCCACGGCUAACUACGUG